rnacentral:rRNA from 1 species
CUGUUAACGGAGGAAAGCUUGGCUCGUACGUCGAUGAAAAACGAGGCGACACCCGAAAGUUUAUGUGAAUUGCAGCCACGUUGAACAUAGAAAUUUUGAACGCACAUUGCGGUGUUGAGUUGUCUCUUUGCCGCGUCUGUCUGAGGGUCG